GCUCGAGGGGGCAGGAGGCUGUGGGAUGUGGUUUGGCGCGAGCCGCCGGAGCGGCUUCGCGCGGCCUUUUCUUACCUCCCGACCCGGUCCCGCUCGCCGCGCUGUUCCCGCCGGCCCCGGGCCCUCGCUGCCCUCACCCGCAUUGCCCCCUCCCCGUAGCCGCCGUGCGGUCUCCGCUGGCCCACAGGGGCACCCUAAGUAAUCCCCCUGGGCUUCCCCCCCGCCGCCGAGCAGCAGCCCCAGCGCCGCUCCUCUCCCCUCAGACCCCGUUCGCUGUGGCUGCCCGAGCAGCCGCUCUUCUGCCUCGGGCGUCCUUUGCUUCCCUCGCCCUUCCCGCCCGGCUCCUGUCACGGCACCGAUGGCCGGCGUGAUCCGGCGGCUGGAUGAAACGGUGGUGAACCGCAUCGCGGCCGGCGAGGUCAUCCAGAGGCCGGCGAACGCCAUCAAGGAGAUGAUAGAAAACUGUUUGGACGCAAAAUCUACAAGUAUCCAGGUAGUAGUUAAAGAAGGGGGUCUGAAGUUCAUCCAAGUCCAAGAUAAUGGCUGUGGUAUCAGAAAAGAAGAUCUGGACAUUGUAUGUGAGAGAUUUACUACGAGCAAACUGCAAAAAUUUGAAGACUUAGCUAGCAUUUCCACGUACGGUUUUAGGGGCGAGGCAUUGGCCAGCAUCAGUCAUGUUGCCCAUGUUACUGUCACAACUAAAACAGCUGAUGCAAAAUGUGCAUACAGAGCUGUAUACAGUGAUGGAAAAAUUAAAGGCCCUCCGAAACCCUGUGCUGGAAACCAAGGAACUCAGAUCACAGUUGAAGAUCUUUUUUACAAUGUAAAUACAAGGAGGAAAGCUUUAAAAAAUCCAAGUGAAGAAUAUGCAAAAAUAGUAGAAGUUGUUAGCAGGUAUGCCAUCCAUAACUCAGGCAUCAGCUUUUCAGUUAAAAAGCAAGGUGAUACCAUGUCAGAUGUUAGAACGUUGUCAAACGCCUCAACAGUGGACAACAUCAGGUCCAUCUUUGGAAAUGCUGUUAGCAGGGAACUGAUAGAAGUGGGCUGUGAAGAUGCAAGUCUGGCCUUUAAACUGAAAGGCUACAUCACGAAUGCAAACUACUCUGUGAAGAAAUGUAUAUUUUUACUCUUCAUAAACCAUCGAUUGGUUGAGUCAGCCGCUUUGCGGAAAGCCAUAGAAACUGUGUAUGCUGCUUAUUUGCCAAAAAGUACGCAUCCAUUCCUAUACUUAAGCCUGGAAAUAGCUCCCCAAAAUGUAGAUGUGAAUGUGCACCCUACAAAACAUGAGGUCCAUUUCCUUCAUGAAGACAGUAUUCUAGAGCAUGUGCAACGACAUGUAGAGAACAAGUUACUGGGCUCUAAUUCUUCAAGGAUGUACUUCACUCAGACGUUGCUUCCGGGGGCCGACUGUUCUUCCAGCGAGGUUGUGAAAUCAGCAGCAAACACUUCUGCGGUCACCAAAGGAACGAGCGACAAAGUUUACGCGCAUCAGAUGGUCCGCACCGAUUCCCGAGAGCAGAAAUUAGACGCUUUUCUUCAGCCAGUGAACAACCCCCUAAGUACAGGCCCCACUGAAGGGACGACAGAGGUGAACGCGCGACCUCCGGAAGGUGUGGACAGGCCACAGGAUGCUGAAAUGGAAGAUGUCAGUGAUGUAGUUGAAGUGGCUGAUGUUCAGGACACAGUCGUGCCUGGGGGGCUGAGUGAGAGUGGACACUUGUCUCCUGAGACAGUGCCUCCUCGAAAGAGACCACGGAAAGAUGUGGACGUAGAAAUGGAGGAAGAUGACACAAGAAAGGACAUGACAGCUGCCUGCACCCCUAAAAGAAGAAUUAUCAACUUGACCAGUGUGUUGACUCUCCAGGAGGAAAUUAGUAACCAGGCACAUGCAAAUCUUCAGGAGAUGCUACAUGAUCAUUCCUUUGUUGGCUGUGUCAGUCCUCAGUGGGCUCUGGCCCAAUAUCAGACCAAACUGUACCUCCUCAAUACAACAAAACUCAGCCAAGAACUCUUUUACCAGAUACUUAUUUAUGACUUUGCAAACUUUGGAGUCUUAAGGUUGUCUGAGCCAGCUCCUUUAUAUCAGCUUUCCAUGCUUGCUUUAGAGAAUCCUGAAAGUGGGUGGACAGAAGAAGAUGGCCCAAAAGAAGGGCUUGCUGAGUACAUUGUGGAGUUUCUGAAAAAGAAGAGUGAAAUGUUGAAAGAUUAUUUUUCUCUUGAAAUCGAUGAGCAGCAGCAUUGCCUUGCAGGAAGGAAACCUUACUGGGUUACCACUUCUGAUAGACAACUAUGUUCCACCGCUGGAAGGACUGCCUAUGUUUAUCCUUCGCUUGGCCACAGAGGUAAAUUGGGAUGAAGAAAAGGAGUGUUUUGAAAGCCUAAGUAAAGAACUAGCUAUGUUCUACUCUAUUAGAAAGCAAUAUAUAAUAGAUGAAGCCAACCCAACAGACUCUCAGAACGAAGAUUGUGACUCUGGUUCAACAACAUGGAAGUGGACUGUGGAACAUAUACUUUACAAAGCUUUUAGGACCCAUCUUUUACCUCCUAAGCACUUUGCAGAAGAUGGCAACAUUUUGCAGCUUGCUAACCUGCCUGACCUCUAUAAAGUUUUUGAGAGGUGUUGAGCAAGUAGCUAUUUUUAUAGACUGGUGCAUAUCUAAAAAACAUUCAUGCUACCUUCCGUUUUACUUAGUAGAGGACUAAGUUGGAAUCUUGAUGGAGGAAUACUAAUGUGACAGCAAAUGAUCUAUUUUUCUUCUAUUCAUCAAAGAAUGAAAAGAAUCAUUUUAGCUAUGUCUAAACCCAACUGAAGUUCCUAAAAUAAAACCUCCACUUACGGUCUGAAUCUCAUUAUUAAGCAGUAUGCUAAGAGUAUAUAACUUCCCCUGAAGUAAAAGAAUUUGGUUAAUUACAAAAGGAGACAAGAGCUUAGUUGAAAUGCAAGUCCUCAUUUCCCACACCAUGAAAAGAGUAGAAGUUCAUAACAGCACUCACUGUCUGUGGAGAGUAGGCUAUGGACAAAACCCGCACCCUUUCAGAAAGCACCUUCUUCCUUGUACUGCCCAUCUUUAAUGGCAGUACCAUGUCCAUGAGGUAAACACUGGAGUGUCACAUCUUCCGGAGCCAGCCAGACCAGCGAGGGGGAAGCGGACACGGGGUUCAGCCCACACAGAAUGUUAACAACUGAGCAACCCACAAAAUGAAACUUGCAGAGAGCAACUGCCUUGAGCUGGAAUCAACCCAUAUGUUACUUCCCGGUGAUGGUGGAGCAGAUCAGGACUGGUAACAGGAAUCACAUUUGUGUUGUGAUUCUGCUGUAUAUGGCCACUGUUAUAUUAUGCUUGUCUUGUGAUUUCAGCAUACUGUUGUAUGACUUUUCUAAAUGCAAAUCACAUGUAAUGCCUAAUAUAUUAAAUUUGAUAUUAAACAAA